GACGAACGCUGGCGGCGUGCCUAAUACAUGCAAGUAGAACGCACAGGAUGCACCGUAGUUUACUACACCGUAUUCUGUGAGUUGCGAACGGGUGAGUAACGCGUAGGUAACCUGCCUGGUAGCGGGGGAUAACUAUUGGAAACGAUAGCUAAUACCGCAUAAGAACAUUUACUGCAUGGUAGAUGUUUAAAAGGUGCAAAUGCAUCACUACCAGAUGGACCUGCGUUGUAUUAGCUAGUAGGUGAGGUAACGGCUCACCUAGGCGACGAUACAUAGCCGACCUGAGAGGGUGAUCGGCCACACUGGGACUGAGACACGGCCCAGACUCCUACGGGAGGCAGCAGUAGGGAAUCUUCGGCAAUGGGGGGAACCCUGACCGAGCAACGCCGCGUGAGUGAAGAAGGUUUUCGGAUCGUAAAGCUCUGUUGUUAAGGAAGAACGAGUGUGAGAAUGGAAAGUUCAUACUGUGACGGACUAACCAGAAAAGGACGG
rnacentral:rRNA from 1 species